UACGAAGGGUGCAAGCGUUACUCGGAAUUACUGGGCGUAAAGCGUGCGUAGGUGGUUUGUUAAGUCUGAUGUGAAAGCCCUGGGCUCAACCUGGGAAUGGCAUUGGAUACUGGCAGGCUAGAGUGUGGCAGAGGGUAGUGGAAUUCCUGGUGUAGCAGUGAAAUGCGUAGAGAUCAGGAGGAACAUCCGUGGCGAAGGCGACUGCCUGGGCCAACACUGACACUGAGGCACGAAAGCGUGGGGAG
rnacentral:rRNA from 1 species